UUCUGGCUGCCGGGAAGUCCAACACCAAGGAGCCAGCAGAUUCAGUUCCUGGUGAUGGCACUCUUCUUGGCUGGCAAAUGGCUGCCUUCUCACUGUAUUUUCACAUGAGGAAGCAGCCUUACCAGAAUGGCACAUUCAAGAGAGGGAGCGGGACAUCCUCAGCUGGACCAGGGUUAUCUCCCAGCUCCAAGGGGAGGCUGCUUCCACAAUUUCCCACGAGAGCUUAGGGAAGUGGGGUCCCUCCUCCAAAGAAGCUGUGCAGAGUCUGAAACUCGGUGGGAAAAUCUCCUGACGCCCCUGCCUCCCAUCUUUGCACCUUCUCCCACAGGGCAUCUGAGCCAGACUGGAGACGACAGAGCAUAAUUAUUCCUGUUCGCCGUUUAAUGCCUCUCGUCCCAUGACGUGAGUUUUCCUCAACCUUCACAGUGCCCUGGAAUCAGCGGGGAAACUUUAAAAUAUGCAGAUUCCCAGGCCCUACUCCUAGAGAUUCUGUUUCUGUUGGCCUGGAAUGGAGUCCGCUUUGGGGUCUCUGUUUGAAAGCUCCGCCAGCGAUUCCGAUGUACAGCUAAGAGCAAGCACCAGGGCACUCUAUGAAGAGGGAUGACUUGGCCGUCAGCUGGCAAUUCCCCAUGCCAGUCCAUUUGUCUUGUGGCUGCACUUUCUCUGUAUUUCAAAUUAUAUCUUAUGAGUUAGGAUAAGCUGAGCCACCCUCAGCUCCUUUCUGAUACAACCUACAAGGAAUCGUCUUUAGGCAAGUGAAAACUUUCUGCCAUUACCUCACUGGGGAACAAGUCAGGCUGUAAAAAACCAGCCAGUUCCCUUCAACAUGAGCCACUCAUUAAUCAGUGAGCCGUCCUCCAAGCACCUGCGUGAAGCCAGGCGGUCACCAUUCCUGACAUCCU